AUUGAACGCUGGCGGCAGGCUUAACACAUGCAAGUCGAGCGGGGAAAGGUAGCUUGCUACCUGACCUAGCGGCGGACGGGUGAGUAAUGCUUAGGAAUCUGCCUAUUAGUGGGGGACAACAUCUCGAAAGGGAUGCUAAUACCGCAUACGUCCUACGGGAGAAAGCAGGGGACCUUCGGGCCUUGCGCUAAUAGAUGAGCCUAAGUCGGAUUAGCUAGUUGGUGGGGUAAAGGCCUACCAAGGCGACGAUCUGUAGCGGGUCUGAGAGGAUGAUCCGCCACACUGGGACUGAGACACGGCCCAGACUCCUACGGGAGGCAGCAGUGGGGAAUAUUGGACAAUGGGGGGAACCCUGAUCCAGCCGUGCCGCGUGUGUGAAGAAGGCCUUUUGGUUGUAAAGCACUUUAAGCGAGGAGGAGGCUACCGAGAUUAAUACUCUUGGAUAGUGGACGUGACUCGCAGAAUAAGCACCGGCUAACUCUGU
rnacentral:rRNA from 1 species